UCCUUCUCUACCACAGAACCCUAUGGAGUGGAGGAGGGCAGGCUGUGGAGCACCAUAUGGACACCUCUUGAAGGACCUUGGGUAGAAGAGGAAACGGGAAAAGGUAUACAAGAGGUCCCCACCCCAUGGAAGGAUAAGGGUGUCUCCCAAUGAAUGUUUCCCCAGACCGGCCCUGUAGCAGUAACAAGGACAUUUUUUGUUCCGUGAGGUCUCGCUGUUGUCACCAGAAACCACCCAGUUUGAAGAACAUCCAAUGUGGACUUUAGGCCAAGGAAAAGUUUUAGUAACAUGCAUUUCUGUAGUUACCUGGCA